rnacentral:lncRNA from 1 species
CUUAUAGUGGCUUCUUCCUAACUGCCAGGGCUCUAGACUCUGGGCCAAAGGAAGGACCUGGGCAAAGAAGCUGGAGUCUAGGAGGGCUGCUGCACAGCCCGACAGCCCACGUCAAGACAAGGCAUGGCAAGGAGAGUGUUCCAGCUGACAUUAAGGUGGUCACUGAAGCCCAGAAUGCAGUGGGUUCUCCCAGCAUCCCCUGCCUGUGCUGGACACUGCAUGCAAGUAGCCCAAGGUCCCACUCAUUUCUCAGACUGAAGUCCCUUCAGGUCCCAGUGUCAUCUUCCCCAGGGUCUGUUAAUAGUGAUAAGAGUUCCUUUUUGGAGGGGCUAUUUCCCCCCUAAAUACUGGCAACAGAACCCAGGACCUUGUGUUUGCUGGGUACUCUGUACCACUGAGCUAAAUUAAAUUCCCAGCCCUAACUGCUUCUCUUCCUCAUAUAGUUUCAAUAUAGAAGUCAGGAUGGUGGCUCAGCAGUUAAGCCUGUUUCUUUUUAGCCUGACUGGUUGAGUUGUCAGGUUUUAAAUCCCCAGAAUCUACAUGGUGGAAGAAUGGACUCCCAUGGGUUUUCUAGUCUCCACAUGUGCACCAGAGCGUCGGAGCUGUUCUUCUCUCCACAGCACACACAGUCACAAAAUAAGUUUUAAAAAUUCAAAUAUAGGGGUUGGGGAUUUAGCUCAGUGGUAG